UUUUUUUUUCCUGAUACGCUUGGUAUGAAUAUAAUUCUUGCCAUAUGCUGUAAAAAACAACUUCUUUUGGGGGAGGAAGGUCUACCAGGAUGGAGAAAGAGGGAACUCUCCAACUAGGUGUGUUUCCUCACACUCAGACUUGCAUUCCUUCACAGGUUUUCUGAUGGUGUUUGAACGGCGGCUGGGAAAAAAAGGUACUGCAUCGAGGGAAGGGAAUGAUUUAUCCAAACAUGAAAGACAUUUCAAAAGACAAAUAUCCCAUCCCAGGCAGUUAACCUCAAGACUCCGUUAUGAGGAUUAUGGUCUACUAAGAGCUGGCAACUUUUUGUAAAGAAAAGGACCUUUCAUCUCUGUACUAAAAGAAGAGAAUUUAAAGAAUUGCUACCUUUUCUUUCUGCA